AAGACACAAUAAAGACUUUUCAAAGCACUGGAGGUGGUUUGUGUGGUACCUGAAGGUGUCACCAGGCAAGCAGGCUCUGCCUGGCAGGAAUGAAAAUGCCUGAAAUGCUGCCUGGGCCCUUCCAGGGAGCUUGCAAGGCACAGACUUGGAACUAUUUCAGCCCAGGGAUUAAAGAAACAUGCUUUGAAAAAGAGGAAUGAUAAAGAAAAAAAGAGAAAUUAAAUAGAAGGUUGGAUUUUUAUUUUUUUUUUUGGUUGGAGCCUGUUUAAAUUACUGUCAGCAGUGUAAAAUGAUGUAAAAUGGAUCAGAGCUGCCAUCUCAAUUUUUAAUGAGAUCCCAUCUGAAACAGGAAGAUCUCAGGCACGUGGUCCAGAUUCAGCCUGACUCUGGGUCCUGUGACAAGGAAGAUGGGAGGAAGAUGUUUCAUUUCAAUAAGCUAAAGGAUGUCAGCAGCUCAGAGCACACUUUGCCAUCAACAUUCUUCACUCCAAUGCCUGAAAUCUCUGGGUUCUGCCUGUGCCACACAUUUGCUACUCCAUGAGGUGAAGUGUCACUGCCCAACAACUGAACAGAUGAAAUAAAAGUGCAGUGACACUUCCUUGAGAUAUCCCAGGAUGCAGAACGGACACUGCCACCACAGGUGGGAAACCAGGAUAUGGGAGCAGGGGGAAGACGUUCAUUUACUGCUCAUUUUUCAUCCCCAUGUGAAGCUCAGCUCCAGGGAAGCACCCCGAAGGCUUCACUUCUGUGAAGUGCACUUCUGGGAGAGGGAUGGACAAAUGCCUCCAGAUGAGGUGAACACACAGGUCCUGUCUUUUGCUGGAGUAUUUAAACUUCAGGUGAGAAAAGAGGUACGAGUAUGUUUGGCGCAAGAUUCUGGAAAGCAGACCAGGUGAGUGCAGGAAAACCACUCAGAUUCUCU